CCUAAUCCCCGGUCCUGAACGAUCCGUACUUACAUUCUAUACUACAAUUGUCAAAAAGAGGGUUUAAUUUGUGUGCGUAUAAUUCUCGCAUCACUCUUCCGCAUCGUCGUUUUGCUUACUGUUUAGCGUUGUCAUCUUUCUCCAGAUCGGCAGGCCAAUAAAACCUGGCGAGGUCAACAUGUACUUCUAUGGAAUUUACCGCCUGUGAUCUCAGCCAUCUCAGCCAUGCUUGCACCGCCGUCAAUUUUAUUGUUAUGUUUAGGAUUUUGCUGGAGGACUCCCUUUGGAAUUGCCGAAUGCUGUUGUUUGUCGUGUGGAAGCAGAGUUAAUUGCUACUAAAAAGGGAUAGAGUGAGGGAAUCAUAGUUCGACCAAGUCUUGAAUGAUGAAUUGAGCCAGAUCAUUGAGGUCUCUUUGUCAAGUUAAAUUUUCCUUCUACUUUUUAUUUGUAAUGCUCAGUUCUUCACUCAAACAUUGCUUAUGAAGUGAAUGAAUUUGCAUAAGUUUGAAUA